AUGGUAAUUGAUUGCUACUGUAUUCACUCCUCGAAACAGUGAGCACAUGGCUACUUAAUAUGGUAAUUUAUUCAUGUGUGGAUCGAGACUUCGGUUGAGAGAGAGAAGAGAGAGAGGAGGAGAGGGGAUUCGAAUGACUGCGUGAGAUGGAUUUAAGAAAGUUAUUCGCCCGCAGCAGAGAAGAAGCGAGGAAUGAGAGAUUGAACAGUCCUGAGUGAGAUCCACUGGUCAACAAGUCUUUGUGGGGACCAGGGAGGAGGCGGCCAUGUAUUGCUUCAACAGCGCUGGCUUCCAUUCAGCCUUUCGUCCACUCGUCUCUACAAGACCAGGUGUGCCCGUCUCGCAAAGAAGUACAGUCCGUGGGACCUUCACACCUGGGUGGACUUCACCCGACGGAGAGAAAGCCGCACCCCCCGGUGGGCGGGGCAAGACGGGGCGCUGUCGCCGGGCAGGUCUAGACUGAGCUGCAUCCAUCCAUUUUCUGCCGCUUGUCCCUUAAGGGUGGCGGGGGGUGCUGGAGCCUAUCUCAGCUGCAUUCGGGCGGAAGGCGGGGUAAACCCUGGACAAGUCGCCACCUCAUCACAGGGCCAACACAGAUAGACAGACAACAUUCACACUCACAUUCACACACUAGGGCCAAUUUAGUGAAUAAAUGGAAAAUGGAAAAAAACAUACCGAAGUCUACGGCUGUUAUUUCACGGUGUAUUCCUGUACAUGGUGAAACAAUACCAGCUUGUUUUUAUUUACGAUAACAUUUUGGCGACUGAGCUACCUUUUUAUAUAUUUUUUUUAACGGUAAAAAUAUUUUUUACUGUGCACAAUUUGAUAAAUACCUUGCUUUAAUGAGUCAUGAGUCAAGACGAUAUUUAGGUACUUAUUUUGAUUUCAACAAGCAACAUUUUAGAUAAGUUAAAUAGAUAUGAAACUGCUUGCAAUACAUAUUUAUUUUUCUGUCAAAAUAGAAACUUCAAUACAUUAUAGUACGAAAAGAAAUUAAUUCCAGGCUUUUGUGGGCCCUGUGGCGAGGCAGGUUUUGACACCUGUGCUGUGGGACAUUCUGUCAAUAAAAUUGUGUGGGGUCUUUUUUUGAAGUUGAUUUAAUUCAACCAAGCGAGUAAUAACCUGUGAUUAAUCAUGAACAAUCCAAAUUUGA